GGCCUGUUGGUCUAGGGGCAUGACUCUCGCUUAGGGUUCGACAAGCCCCGGGUUCAAAUUCCGGACAUGCCC